rnacentral:tRNA from 1 species
GCGCCCGUAGCUCAGUGGAUAGAGCGCUUGACUACGAAUCAAGAGGCCACAGGUUCAAGUCCUGUCGGGCGCACCA